rnacentral:rRNA from 1 species
ACGGGUGAGUAACACGUGGGUAACCUGCCUCAUAGAGGGGGAUAGCCUCCCGAAAGGGAGAUUAAUACCGCAUAACAUGGAUUAAUCGCAUGAUUAAUUCAUUAAAGGAGUAAUCCGCUAUGAGAUGGACCCGCGGCGCAUUAGCUAGUUGGAGAGGUAAAGGCUCACCAAGGCGACGAUGCGUAGCCGACCUGAGAGGGUGAUCGGCCACAUUGGAACUGAGACACGGUCCAGACUCCUACGGGAGGCAGCAGUGGGGAAUAUUGCACAAUGGGGGAAACCCUGAUGCAGCAACGCCGCGUGAGUGAUGAAGGCCUUCGGGUUGUAAAGCUCUGUCAUUGGGGACGAUAAUGACGGUACCCAAUGAGGAAGCCACGGCUAACUACGUGCCAGCAGCCGCGGUAAUACGUAGGUGGCAAGCGUUGUCCGGAUUUACUGGGCGUAAAGGAUGCGUAGGCGGAUUUUUAAGUGAGAUGUGAAAUUCCCGGGCUUAACUUGGGAGCUGCAUUUCAAACUGGAAGUCUAGAGUGCGGGAGAGGUAAGUGGAAUUCCUAGU